AUACGAAGGGGGCUAGCGUUGUUCGGAAUUACUGGGCGUAAAGCGCGCGCAGGCGGUUUUCCAAGUCAGAGGUGAAAGCCCAGAGCUCAACUCUGGAACUGCCUUUGAAACUGGAAAACUAGGGUACGUGAGAGGUGAGUGGAAUUCCGAGUGUAGAGGUGAAAUUCGUAGAUAUUCGGAAGAACACCAGUGGCGAAGGCGGCUCACUGGCCCGUUACCGACGCUCAGGCGCGACAGCGUGGGGAGCAAACAGAAUUAGAAACCCCGGUAGUCC
rnacentral:rRNA from 1 species